rnacentral:rRNA from 1 species
CCGGCGCACGGGUGAGUAACACGUAUCCAACCUGCCGUCUACUCUUGGCCAGCCUUCUGAAGGAAGAUUAAUCCAGGAUGGCAUCAUGAGUUCACAUGUCCGCAUGAUUAAAGGUAUUUUCCGGUAGACGAUGGGGAUGCGUUCCAUUAGAUAGUAGGCGGGGUAACGGCCCACCUAGUCAACGAUGGAUAGGGGUUCUGAGAGGAAGGUCCCCCACAUUGGAACUGAGACACGGUCCAA